rnacentral:lncRNA from 1 species
CGCACGAUUGAUCAUCUUGAAAUAACUGAAGAUAGUAGAACCAACGUAGCGUCUGUAUCAAAUAAUACAGAAGAUAGCUCAACUUCAGUUCGAGCUGAACAAGACACUGUAGAGAUGGAUGGCAACUCUGCUUUGAUCGAUGGCAACCCGCAAGCUCCACGUGCUUCUAGUACUGCGGCAAACUAAGUUUGUAUUCUUUAGUUGCAUCAACUCAUUGGUUUCUUUUCACAGU